CUGGUUGUAUUUUUUUAAUCCAUUGUGUAUACAGUACUGAGUCCUACAGUAUAAAUGAAGUUAUUGAAUGUCAUCUGCCUCGUAAAUGAACUCAAUUGCAGUGAGUAAUUAAAAUUUUUGACUGAGUGAUGGUAUUUACAAUUGUUAUAUGGUCCCCUGAACAGGUACCUUCCUUGGCUUGUUUGUCCUCCAUUUCAGGCCAACCCCACCCAGAAAGGGGAAAGGGCCAAAAAGGAAGGGUGAGAAAAAGACGUGGGAUGGCAGAAUAACAAGAAUGGUGUGUUAGGAGUCAGAAGUAUUGUAGUGCAAUCAAUUGAAAGCACAUAGUAAAGUGGCCUUCAACUUACCACACAAGGCCAACAGAUUCGGCUCAAACUAUCAAACUCCAACUCCAUAAUUCAGUGGACCCGCAUUUGCAAUUUCAAGUUGGGGAAAAAGACGUGAAGGUAACUUGAAAACUUGAAGCAAGCAGCAUAUAACACCUGCUACACUCCCAUUAUUAUGGUCACUGACAAAUGACAUAAUGUCCUCAUAGUCCUCAAGUUAAUCCCAAGUUGGGUUUGGUUAAUAAAUAUGUACACUCACAAAGAUCAUACAAACUGAACCUUUGAUCGUCACACGUGAGAAGAUAUUCUUUGCUGAGGUUAAAAUCACUUGAUUCAAA
rnacentral:sRNA from 1 species